AAGACUGUGCUUCACAGGAUCAUUUCUGUAGGCUAGUUUUCACUACAAGUUUUUUCCAAAAACAUAACGAACAGCCAACGGU